GGUCGUCGCCGGGAAGCACCGCCCCUGAGUGCGUCUGCUGGUUGGAGGGAGAGGAAAUGGAAUUCCCCGGACUGGUUAGAGCGCGCGCCGACACAUCCGUCUCUCACGCGCCCAAUCAGGAAUGUGCUGUGGGAGGUACCACGAACUAAUUACUAGAUAACUUUAGCCCAGGUUGACCCGGGCUUUUGAAGUUUUCGGGGAAGCAGGUGAGCAAUAUUUUACUCGCCUGCCCAUCCGGGCCGGUUAACCAAUGGGAGGAGGCACCUCUCAAAAUGAAACAGUCGUUUUAAAUAGAAACCAGGCGAACCGCUGAUCAGCGCUCUCACGUGCCAAAAUAUAGCGCAUUUCUGGCCUAGAGGAUCAGUACCGAGAAGAGUGGACUCAUACACUCGUUCCCAGAAUGACAGCGGCCUAGAAAUCAAACUCAACAGUGAAUUGAUUAACUUGGGGGAUAGGGGCGGACUAGUUAUUUGCCUUUCACCAUCCGCCAAGGUUGAGAAGCCAGUAUACAAGAGUGGUAGGAAACAUUCCUAUUGACCCAAAGGGAACUCACAGUAUCCAGGAGGUCCCUUAAGAACAGUCCCAGAUAAGCCAAUUUGUAUUACCCUGAUCUAAACAAGCUUCAGUAUGAAAGUAUAAAGGAACAUGUUAAUGCCCUGAAUUAACAAGUGCACAGCGGAGUGGGACAAAUUUGAGGUCAGAGUUCCUUACUUUUUUUGUGCCACAGACCAUUUUGGCAGUCUGGCAAAGCCAUUGACUCUUCUCAAAAUAAUGUUUUUAAAUGUAUAAAGUAAAAUUCAUAGCAAUA